rnacentral:rRNA from 1 species
ACGCACGCUGGCGGCGUGCUUAACACAUGCCAGUCGAACGGAAAGGCCCUGCUUUUGUGGGGUGCUCGAGUGGCGAACGGGUGAGUAACACGUGAGUAACCUGCCCUUGACUUUGGGAUAACUUCAGGAAACUGGGGCUAAUACCGGAUAGGAGCUCCUGCUGCAUGGUGGGGGUUGGAAAGUUUCGGCGGUUGGGGAUGGACUCGCGGCUUAUCAGCUUGUUGGUGGGGUAGUGGCUUACCAAGGCUUUGACAGGUAGCCGGCCUGAGAGGGUGACCGGCCACAUUGGGACUGAGAUACGGCCCAGACUCCUACGGGAGGCAGCAGUGGGGAAUAUUGCACAAUGGGCGGAAGCCUGAUGCAGCAACGCCGCGUGCGGGAUGACGGCCUUCGGGUUGUAAACCGCUUUCGCCUGUGACGAAGCGUGAGUGACGGUAAUGGGUAAAGAAGCACCGGCUAACUACGUG